AAAAGAAAUAUACUUAUUUUGUUCAUAUAUUUAUAUGUCAUCCACAAAUUAAAUGCAACUAGUCUAGCUCUAAGUCACUCGUUUUUGCAUCAAUUGAUUGCAAUUUGUUCAAUCAAAUUAAACCUUCCAACUUUCUUGUAGUAUGGAAUCUAUAAAUUAUCAACCUAUAUGCAAGCCUUGAUCAAGGUCACUCAUAUUGUGACAAAUGAUCCACUUGUG
rnacentral:misc_RNA from 1 species